UACGUAGGGUCCAAGCGUUGUCCGGAUUUAUUGGGCGUAAAGAGCUCGUAGGCGGUUCGGUAAGUCGGAUGUGAAAACUCAGGGCUCAACCCGGAGACGUCAUCCGAUACUGCUGUGACUUGAGUCUGGUAGGGGAACACGGAAUACCUGGUGUAGCGGUGAAAUGCGCAGAUAUCAGGUGGAACACCGAUGGCGAAGGCAGUGUGCUGGGCCAGUACUGACGCUGAGGAGCGAAAGCGUGGGGAGCAAACAGG
rnacentral:rRNA from 1 species